CAGCCGCGGUAAUACGUAGGUGGCAAGCGUUGUCCGGAAUUAUUGGGCGUAAAGCGCGCGCAGGCGGUUUCUUAAGUCUGAUGUGAAAGCCCCCGGCUCAACCGGGGAGGGUCAUUGGAAACUGGGGAACUUGAGUGCAGAAGAGGAGAGUGGAAUUCCACGUGUAGCGGUGAAAUGCGUAGAGAUGUGGAGGAACACCAGUGGCGAAGGCGACUCUCUGGUCUGUAACUGACGCUGAGGCGCGAAAGCGUGGGGAGCGAACAGGAUUAGAUACCCUGGUAGUCCACGCCGUAAACGAUGAGUGCUAAGUGUUAGAGGGUUUCCGCCCUUUAGUGCUGCAGCAAACGCAUUAAGCACUCCGCCUGGGGAGUACGGUCGCAAGACUGAAACUCAAAGGAAUUGACGGGGGCCCGCACAAGCGGUGGAGCAUGUGGUUUAAUUCGAAGCAACGCGAAGAACCUUACCAGGUCUUGACAUCCUCUGACAACCCUAGAGAUAGGGCUUCCCCUUCGGGGGCAGAGUGACAGGUGGUGCAUGGUUGUCGUCAGCUCGUGUCGUGAGAUGUUGGGUUAAGUCCCGCAACGAGCGCAACCCUUGAUCUUAGUUGCCAGCAUUCAGUUGGGCACUCUAAGGUGACUGCCGGUGACAAACCGGAGGAAGGUGG
rnacentral:rRNA from 1 species